rnacentral:rRNA from 1 species
UCGAGUGGCGGAUGGGUGAGUAACGCGUAAGUAAUCUGCCCUCAACCCUGGGAUAAGAUCGCGAAAGAGGUGCUGAUACCGGAUAGAACCAGGCCAUCGCAGGAUGGCGUGGUUAAAGGUGGCCUCUUAACAAUGCUAUUAGUUGGGGAUGAGCUUGCGUCCAAUUAGCUGGUUGGUGAGGUAAUGGCUCACCAAGGCGAUGAUUGGUAGCCGGCCUGAGAGGGUGAACGGCCACACUGGGACUGAGAUACGGCCCAGACUCCUACGGGAGGCAGCAGUAGGGAAUAUUGGGCAAUGGGCGAAAGCCUGACCCAGCAACGCCGCGUGAGUGAUGAAGCUUUUCGGAGUGUAAAACUCUUUUCCUAGGGAAGAAAUCGAUCAGGAAUAACACGACUGGUCGUUGACGGUACCUAGGGAAUAAGCCCCGGCUAACUCCGUGCCAGCAGCCGCGGUAAUACGGAGGGGGCGAGCGUUGUUCGGAUUUACUGGGCGUAAAGCGCGAGUAGGCGGCCUUGCAAGUCGAAUGUGUAAGCUCACGGCUUAACCGUGGAAUUGCAUUCGAAACUGUAGGGCUUGAGGGCAGGAGGGGAGAGUGGAAUUCCCAGUGUAGCGGUGAAAUGCGUAGAUAUUGGGAGGAACACCAGAGGCGAAGGCGACUCUCUGGACUGCUACUGACGCUGAGUCGCGAAAGCAUGGGGAGCAAACAGGAUUAGAUACCCUGGUAGUCCAUGCUGUAAACGAUGGGUACUAGGUGUAGCGGGUAUGUACCCCUGCUGUGCCGAAGCUAACGCAUUAAGUACCCCGCCUGGGGAGUACGAUCGCAAGAUUGAAACUCAAAGGAAUUGACGGGGCCCCGCACAAGCGGUGGAGCAUGUGGUUUAAUUCGAGGCAACGCGAAGAACCUUACCUGGACUUGACAUGUUUCUGACCGGCAUCGAAAGAUGCCUUCCCUUCGGGGCAGAUUCACAGGUGCUGCAUGGCUGUCGUCAGCUCGUGUCGUGAGAUGUUGGGUUAAGUCCCGCAACGAGCGCAACCCCUACUCUUAGUUGCCAACGGGUAAUGCCGGGAACUCUAAGGGAACUGUCGGUGACAAACCGGAGGAAGGUGGGGAUGACGUCAAGUCCUCAUGGCCUUUAUGUCCAGGGCUACACACGUGCUACAAUGACCGGUACAAAGGGCUGCAAUACCGCGAGGUGGAGCGAAUCCCAAAAACCGGUCUAAGUUCGAAUUGGAGUCUGCAACUCGACUCCAUGAAGCCGGAAUCGCUAGUAAUCGCGGAUCAGCAUGCCGCGGUGAUACGUUCCCGGGGCUUGUACACACCGCCCGUCACACCACGAAAGUUGACUGCACUAGAAGUCGGUAAGCUAACAUUCGGGAGGCAGCCGCCC